rnacentral:rRNA from 1 species
GACGAACGCUGGCGGCGUGCUUAACACAUGCAAGUCGAACGGACAGGCCCUGCUUUUGUGGGGUUCUCGAUUGGCGAACGGGUGAGUAACACGUGAGUAACCUGCCCUUGACUUUGGGAUAACUUCAGGAAACUGGGGCUAAUACCGGAUAGGAGCUCCUGCUGCAUGGUGGGGGUUGGAAAGUUUCGGCGGUUGGGGAUGGUCUCGCGGCUUAUCAGCUUGUUGGUGGGGUAGUGGAUUACCAAGGCUUUGACGGGUAGCCGGCCUGAGAGGGUGACCGGCGACAUGGGGACUGAGAUACGGCGCAGACUCCUACGGGAGGCAGCAGUGGGGAAUAUUGCACAAUGGGCGGACGCCUGAUGCAGCAACGCCGCGUGCGGGAUGACGGCCUUCGGGUUGUAAACCGCUUUCGCCUGUGACGAAGAGUGAGUGACGGUAAUGGGUAAAGAAGCACCGGCUAACUACGUG